UAAUACCGUAUACGCCCUUAGGGGGAAAGAUUUAUCGGAGAAGGAUCAGCCCGCGUUAGAUUAGGUAGUUGGUGGGGUAACGGCCUACCAAGCCUACGAUCUAUAGCUGGUUUUAGAGGAUGAUCAGCCACACUGGGACUGAGACACGGCCCAGACUCCUACGGGAGGCAGCAGUAGGGAAUCUUGGACAAUGGGGGAAACCCUGAUCCAGCCAUGCCGCGUGAGUGAAGAAGGCCUUAGGGUCGUAAAGCUCUUUCGCCUGUGAUGAUAAUGACAGUAGCAGGUAAAGAAACCCCGGCUAACUCCGUGCCAGCAGCCGCGGUAAUACGGAGGGGGUUAGCGUUGUUCGGAAUUACUGGGCGUAAAGCGCGCGUAGGCGGAUUGGAAAGUUGGGGGUGAAAUCCCGGGGCUCAACCCCGGAACUGCCUCCAAAACUGCCAGUCUAGAGUUCGAGAGAGGUGAGUGGAACU
rnacentral:rRNA from 1 species